GCAGUGCGGUGCUCGGGGGUACCUCAGCGGGACCGGGAAUGGGAGCGGGACCGGCCCUUCCCGGUCGGGUCGUGGCGAAGCUGAAGGACCCCUCGAUGUCGGGAAGGCGGUGCUGGCCGAGGAGAUCCCGCCCGGGCGGGGCCGCGCUGCCCUUCCCGCGCCAUGUUGUGGCGAAGCUCCCUGAGGGCCGGCCCCGCUCAGCCUCGGCCCCAGCGCUGAGCGGCCUUGGUGGGGGUACAUGAGGGGCAGAGUGAAGCCCAUCAGCAGGCAAAAGAUGAAGGGGCAAAGAUUGUGUGUCUUCAGAAAAGAGGGGUGAUGCUUCACACAAAGGCUGCCCACCAGAUGCCUUUGUUACACUGCUCUCCAAGAGACAAAGCCACGUGACUGGCAGAGCAGGAGGUGUCCCAGGCCCGAGUUCGGUUUGAGAGCAGGGCUGAGUUCUGGAAUGAUCUUCAAAUGUUGAAGGUCAUGGCCUAAGUUUCAGAAUUCCUCUUUCAGACAAAAGUGGCAACAGCAAAAGAAGCGAUUGGUGGUGUCUGCAUGUGAAGAUUUGCAGAUUCCUUGAAAGCUGAUCAUCUGUGUUUUCUCUACGUGGCUAAGAAGAAUUUAAAAAAAAAAAACUAAAUAAAGAUGCCACCUACCAUAAGUCUGAA